rnacentral:rRNA from 1 species
AUUGAACGCUGGCGGCAGGCCUAACACAUGCAAGUCGAGCGGAGCGGGGGACGAGCGAGUAAUGCAUAGGAAUCUGCCUGGUCGUGGGGGAUAACGUCCGGAAACGGGCGCUACUACCGCAUACUAGCUGUUGAGCCUAGGUCGGAUUAGCGAGUUGGGGGGGUAAAGGCCUACCAAGGCGACGAACCGUAACUGGUCUGGGUGGAUGAUCAGUCACACUGGAACUGAGACACGGUCCAGACUCCUACGGGAGGCAGCAGUGGGGAAUAUUGGACAAUGGGCGAAAGCCUGAUCCAGCCAUGCCGCGUGUGUGAAGAAGGUCUUCGGAUUGUAAAGCACUUUAAGUUGGGAGGCGUUACCAACAGAAUAAGCACCGGCUAACUUCGUGCCAGCAGCCGCGGUAAUUC